GAUGAACGCUGGCGGCGUGCCUAAUACAUGCAAGUCGAGCGAACGGACGAGAAGCUUGCUUCUCUGAUGUUAGCGGCGGACGGGUGAGUAACACGUGGAUAACCUACCUAUAAGACUGGGAUAACUUCGGGAAACCGUAGCUAAUACCGGAUAAUAUUUUGAACCGCAUGGUUCAAAAGUGAAAGACGGUCUUGCUGUCACUUAUAGAUGGAUCCGCGCUGCAUUAGCUAGUUGGUAAGGUAACGGCUUACCAAGGCAACGAUGCAUAGCCGACCUGAGAGGGUGAUCGGCCACACUAGAAGUGAAACACGGUCCAGACGCCUACGGGAGGCAGCAGUAGGGAAUCUUCCGCAAUGGGCGAGAGCCUGACGGAGCAACGCCGCGUGAGUGAUGAAGGUCUUCGGAUCGUAAAGCUCUGUUAUUAGGGAAAAACAUAUGUGUAAGUAACUGUGCACAUCUUGACGGUACCUGAUCAAAAAGCCACGGCUAACUACGUG
rnacentral:rRNA from 1 species